rnacentral:rRNA from 1 species
GACGAACGCUGGCGGCGUGCUUAACACAUGCAAGUCGAACGGAAAGGCCCUGCUUUUGUGGGGUGCUCGAGUGGCGAACGGGUGAGUAACACGUGAGUAACCUGCCCUUGACUUUGGGAUAACUUCAGGAAACUGGGGCUAAUACCGGAUAGGAGCUCCUGCUGCAUGGUGGGGGUGGGAAAGUUUCGGCGGUUGGGGAUGGACUCGCGGCUUAUCAGCUUGUUGGGGGGGUAGUGGCUUACCAAGGCUUUGACGGGUAGCCGGCCUGAGAGGGUGACCGGCCACAUUGGGACUGAGAUAAGGCCCAGACUCCUACGGGAGGAAGCAGUGGGGAAUAUUGCACAAUGGGCGGAAGCCUGAUGCAGCAACGCCGCGUGCGGGAUGACGGCCUUCGGGUUGUAAACCGCUUUCGCCUGUGACGAAGCGUGAGUGACGGUAAUGGGUAAAGAAGCACCGGCUAACUACGUG